UGGGGAAUAUUGCACAAUGGGCGAAAGCCUGAUGCAGCAACGCCGCGUGAACGAUGAAGGCCUUCGGGUCGUAAAGUUCUGUCCUCAAGGAAGAUAAUGACGGUACCUUAUGAAUAAGCUCCGGCUAACUACGUGCCAGCAGCCGCGGUAAUACGUAGGGAGCAAGCGUUAUCCGGAUUUACUGGGUGUAAAGGGCGUGUAGGCGGGAAGGCAAGUCAGAUGUGAAAACUAUGGGCUCAACCCAUAGCCUGCAUUUGAAACUGUUUUUCUUGAGUACUGGAGAGGCAGGCGGAAUUCCGUGUGUAGCGGUGAAAUGCGUAGAUAUACGGAGGAACACCAGUGGCGAAGGCGGCCUGCUGGACAGCAACUGACGCUGAGGCGCGAAAGCGUGGGGAGCAAACAGGAUUAGAU
rnacentral:rRNA from 1 species